ACAGUGGACGCGAGCAUCUGUGGCCAAGUUUUUAAGGGCGCACGGUGGAUGCCUUGGCACCAGGAACCGAUGAAGGACGUGGGAGGCCACGAUAGGCCCCGGGGAGUCGUCAACCAGGCUUUGAUCCGGGGGUGUCCGAAUGGGGAAACCCGGCAGUCGUCAUGGGCUGUCACCCGCUGCUGAACACAUAGGCAGUGUGGAGGGAACGCGGGGAAGUGAAACAUCUCAGUACCCGCAGGAAGAGAAAACAACCGUGAUUCCGGGAGUAGUGGCGAGCGAAACCGGAUGAGGCCAAACCGUAUGCGUGUGAGACCCGGCAGGGGUUGCGCAUGCGGGGUUGUGGGAUCUCUCUUUCAUGGUCUGCCGGCCAUGAGACGAGUCAGAAACCGUUGAUGUAGGCGAAGGACAUGCGAAAGGUCCGGCGUAGAGGGUAAGACCCCCGUAGUCGAAACGUCAGCGGCUCGUUGGAGAGACACCCAAGUAGCACGGGGCCCGAGAAAUCCCGUGUGAAUCUGGCGGGACCACCCGCUAAGCCUAAAUAUUCCCUGGUGACCGAUAGCGGAUAGUACCGUGAGGGAAUGGUGAAAAGUACCCCGGGAGGGGAGUGAAAUAGUACCUGAAACCGUGUGCCUACAAGCCGUGGGAGCGUCGGACAUCAGCUUGCUGGUGUCUCGUGACUGCGUGCCUUUUGAAGAAUGAGCCUGCGAGUUUGCGGUGUGUUGCGAGGUUAACCCGGGUGGGGUAGCCGUAGCGAAAGCGAGUCCGAACAGGGCGCUUCAGUAGCACGCUCAAGACCCGAAGCGGAGUGAUCUAGCCAUGGGCAGGUUGAAGCGGAGGUAAGACUUCGUGGAGGACCGAACCCACCAGGGUUGAAAACCUGGGGGAUGACCUGUGGUUAGGGGUGAAAGGCCAAUCAAACUCCGUGAUAGCUGGUUCUCCCCGAAAUGCAUUUAGGUGCAGCGUCGUGUGUUUCUUGCCGGAGGUAGAGCACUGGAUAGGCGAUGGGCCCUACCGGGUUACUGACCUUAGCCAAACUCCGAAUGCCGGUAAGUGAGAGCGCGGCAGUGAGACUGUGGGGGAUAAGCUCCAUGGUCGAGAGGGAAACAGCCCAGAGCAUCGACUAAGGCCCCUAAGCGUACGCUAAGUGGGAAAGGAUGUGGAGUCGCACAGACAACCAGGAGGUUGGCUUAGAAGCAGCCACCCUUGAAAGAGUGCGUAAUAGCUCACUGGUCUAGUGAUUCCGCGCCGACAAUGUAGCGGGGCUCAAGCGUACCGCCGAAGUCGUGUCAUUGCAGCAAUAAGCCCCAACGGGUGCUGUGAUGGGUAGGGGAGCGUCGUCUGCCGGGUGAAGCAGCCGCGGAAGCGAGUUGUGGACGGUUGACGAGUGAGAAUGCAGGCAUGAGUAGCGAUUCACACGUGAGAAACGUGUGCGCCGAUUGACUAAGGGUUCCUGGGUCAAGCUGAUCUGCCCAGGGUAAGUCGGGACCUAAGGCGAGGCCGACAGGCGUAGUCGAUGGAUAACCGGUUGAUAUUCCGGUACCCGCUGUGAAGCGUCAAACACCGAGCAUCGUGAUGCUAAGGCCGUGAAGCCGCCCCGGAUCCUUCGGGUGAAGGGGAGUGGUGGAGCCGCCGGCCCAAGCGGUUAGUAGGUGAGUGAUGGGGUGACGCAGGAAGGUAGUCCAGCCCGGGCGGUGGUUGUCCCGGGGUAAGGGUGUAGCCCGAGUGGUAGGCAAAUCCGCCACUCAUGAGGGUGAGACCUGAUGCCGAGCCGAUUGUGGUGAAGUGGAUGAUCCUAUGCUGUCGAGAAAAGCCUCUAGCGAGUUUCAUGGCGGCCCGUACCCUAAACCGACUCAGGUGGUCAGGUAGAGAAUACCGAGGCGUUCGGGUGAACUAUGGUUAAGGAACUCGGCAAAAUGCCCCCGUAACUUCGGGAGAAGGGGGGCCACAUCCGGUGACGGCACUUGCUGCCGGAGCUGGGGGUGGCCGCAGAGACCAGCGAGAAGCGACUGUUUACUAAAAACACAGGUCCGUGCGAAGCCGUAAGGCGAUGUAUACGGACUGACGCCUGCCCGGUGCUGGAACGUUAAGGGGACCGGUUAGCUCACCUUCGGGUGGGCGAAGCUGAGAACUUAAGCGCCAGUAAACGGCGGUGGUAACUAUAACCAUCCUAAGGUAGCGAAAUUCCUUGUCGGGUAAGUUCCGACCUGCACGAAUGGCGUAACGACUUCUCGACUGUCUCAACCAUAGGCCCGGUGAAAUUGCACUACGAGUAAAGAUGCUCGUUUCGCGCAGCAGGACGGAAAGACCCCGGGACCUUUACUACAGUUUGAUAUUGGUGUUCGGUUCGGCUUGUGUAGGAUAGCUGGGAGACUGUGAAGCUCGGACGCCAGUUCGGGUGGAGUCGUCGUUGAAAUACCAGUCUGGUCGUGCUGGAUGUCUAACCUGGGUCCGUGAUCCGGAUCAGGGACAGUGUCUGAUGGGUAGUUUAACUGGGGCGGUUGCCUCCUAAAGGGUAACGGAGGCGCCCAAAGGUUCCCUCAGCCUGGUUGGCAAUCAGGUGUUGAGUGUAAGUGCACAAGGGAGCUUGACUGUGAGACCGACGGGUCGAGCAGGGACGAAAGUCGGGACUAGUGAUCCGGCGGUGGCUUGUGGAAGCGCCGUCGCUCAACGGAUAAAAGGUACCCCGGGGAUAACAGGCUGAUCUUCCCCAAGAGUCCAUAUCGACGGGAUGGUUUGGCACCUCGAUGUCGGCUCGUCGCAUCCUGGGGCUGGAGUCGGUCCCAAGGGUUGGGCUGUUCGCCCAUUAAAGCGGUACGCGAGCUGGGUUUAGAACGUCGUGAGACAGUUCGGUCCCUAUCCGCUGUGCGCGCAGGAGUCUUGAGAAGGGCUGUCCCUAGUACGAGAGGACCGGGACGGACGAACCUCUGGUGUGCCAGUUGUUCUGCCAAGGGCAUGGCUGGUUGGCUACGUUCGGGAGGGAUAACCGCUGAAAGCAUCUAAGCGGGAAGCCUGCUUCGAGAUGAGGACUCCCACCCACUUGAUGGGGUAAGGCUCCCAGUAGACGACUGGGUUGAUAGGCCGGAUAUGGAAGCACGGUAACGUGUGGAGUUGACCGGUACUAAUAGGCCGAGGGCUUGUCCUCAGUUG
rnacentral:rRNA from 1 species